CAGAGUUCUCGCCCUCACGGGUAGAUCUCCCACCCAAUGUUAUCGUUACCACUGUUUCUUUGGCGGGCCGCCGGGCCCUGCUCGGCCGCCGGCUUCGGCUGGCGCGCGCCCGCCAGAGGCCCUUUAAACCCUGAAUGUCAGUGUCGUCUGAGUACUAUACAAUAGUUA
rnacentral:misc_RNA from 2 species